GCUGAGCGCGGUGGCGCGUACCUGUAGUUCCAGCUACUUGGGGGGCUGAGGCUGGAGGAUUGCUUGAGCCCAGGAGUUCUGGGCUGUAGUGUGCUGUGCCCAUUGGGUGUCUGCACUAAGUUCGGCAUCAAUAUGGUGACCUCCUGGGGAUCGGGGGAACACCAGAUUGCCUAAGGAGGGGUGAACUGGCUCAGAUUGGAAAUGGAGCAGGUCAAAACUUCCUUGCUGAUCAGUUGUGGGAUCGCGCCUGUGAAUAGCCACUGCACUCCAGCCUGGGCAACAUAGCAAGACCCCGUCUCU
rnacentral:SRP_RNA from 1 species